AACGAACGCUGGCGGCAGGCUUAACACAUGCAAGUCGAGCGCCCCGCAAGGGGAGCGGCAGACGGGUGAGUAACGCGUGGGAAUCUACCCAUCUCUACGGAAUAACGCAUGGAAACGUGUGCUAAUAACGUAUACGUCCUUCGGGAGAAAGAUUUAUCGGAGAUGGAUGAGCCCGCGUUGGAUUAGCUAGUUGGUAGGGUAAAGGCCUACCAAGGCGACGAUCCAUAGCUGGUCUGAGAGGAUGAUCAGCCACACUGGGACUGAGACACGGCCCAGACUCCUACGGGAGGCAGCAGUGGGGAAUAUUGGACAAUGGGCGCAAGCCUGAUCCAGCCAUGCCGCGUGAGUGAUGAAGGCCCUAGGGUUGUAAAGCUCUUUCACCGGUGAAGAUAAUGACGGUAACCGGAGAAGAAGCCCCGGCUAACUUCGUGCCAGCCGCCGCGGUAACAC
rnacentral:rRNA from 1 species